UACCAGCACCCCGAGUGGUCGGGACGAUUAUUGGGCCUAAAGCAUCCGUAGCCGGUCCUACAAGUCUUCCGUUAAAUCCACCUGCUCAACAGAUGGGCUGCGGAAGAUACUAUAAGACUAGGAGGCAGGAGAGGCAAGCGGUACUCAGCGGGGUAGGGGGUAAAAAUCCGUUGAUCCAUUGAAGACCACCAGUGGCGAAGGCGGCUUGCCAGAAUGCGCUCGACGGUGAGGGAUGAAAAGCUGGGGGGGAGCAAAACCGG
rnacentral:rRNA from 1 species